rnacentral:rRNA from 1 species
UUUAGCCUGAUCUGGGACAUCCGCCUGCCUCUGAAGAUCAGGAUCUUCUUAUGGCAGUGGAUCCGGGGACGCCUUCCCUCUGGGGUUGAGGUCCUCAAGCGAAAUGGAGUAGGAGAUGGGAUUUGUCCCCUGUGCGGCACGGUGAAGGAUGCUAACCACAUCUUCUUCUCUUGCUCCACAGCCCAGUUCCUGUGGUCCUGUUUCCGCGAGACGGUCGGUGGACAGUGGUGCAACACCAACUUCCCUGACUUGCUUGCUAAAAUCCAAGCCCCCCCUCGCUGCCGCCAUAUUAGAUGGAUGUGCGUUGGGGUUCUUGCCUGGACGCUUUGGACCAUUCGCAACAAGCUUGUUAUUCAGAAAGCCCCUCUUCGACGUGCGACUGACCGAUCUUCAAGAUGUGUGGUUACUUGCAGCUCUCGCGGCCGCUUAGUCGCUCCCAGGACCGGGACGCCAUCAACACCCUCCUCGCCGACCUUCGAUCGAUGGCCUUCCGCGUGA